UUGUAGGUGUUUGCUAAAGGCAGUUAAGCUUUCACCUGUUCCUCUGCUACCUAAUAACAGUGCCUAUUGCAUGCCAUUGUCCAGGGAUGGCUCCUUGCCCGUCUGUUUUUGAGGCCAGUGUAAUUUAUAUCAGUAUUUAAAAAUUAUAUACAUUAAGACUGAGCAUGCAACCAUCUGUUCAUGCCCUGAAAUGCAAACAAAUAAGCUUUUGUCCUACUGGCAUGUUUUUAUCAUGAACAUUAGCCAUGUCCUCCACAUAAAGCAAAAAGACUUUGGGCAUCAAAUAGAGGACGGAAAAGAUGGAGCCUGCCACUUUGCCUUAUAGGCUUCCAAGGGCCACCUGUGCAGGCAUUUGAUGGAGCAAACGUGGUGCUGAGGCUUCACGGACUAGCCUUCCUGUGGAGGUGGGGGCCAGGAGUUCAUCCUGUGCAAAACUAUCUUAAGAAGGGGGCUUAAGAAGGUAAAACCCUGUCUAAGCUGCUCACAGCAGUUGCUUCAGUGAAAUCUAUUGGAAUAACUGCAAACCGAGGCUUGCCCAGGGGUGUAUUUAACAACUUAGAUGCAGAACUUGAAAACAGCUAAA